AACUAACGCUGGCGGCGUGCCUAACACAUGCAAGUCGUACGAGAAAGCCGGCUUCGGCUGGUGAGUAAAGUGGCGCACGGGUGAGUAACGCGUGGAUAAUCUGCCCUUAAGUGUGGAAUAACGUACCGAAAGGUGCGCUAAUACCGCAUAAUGCCUGGCAACACAAGUUGUCCGGCCAAAGAAGGCCUCUGUUUACAAGCUUUCGCUUCAGGAUGAGUCCGCGUACCAUUAGCUUGUUGGUGGGGUAAUGGCCUACCAAGGCUGCGAUGGUUAAGCUGGUCUGAGAGGAUGAUCAGCCACACUGGAACUGAGACACGGUCCAGACUCCUACGGGAGGCAGCAGUGAGGAAUAUUGCGCAAUGGGGGCAACCCUGACGCAGCAAACGCCGCGUGAGUGAGGAAGGUUUUCGGACUGUAAAGCUCUGUCGAGCGGGAAGAAGUGUACCAUGGCUAAUAUCCAUGAUAUUUGACGGUACCGCUAGAGG
rnacentral:rRNA from 1 species